rnacentral:rRNA from 1 species
GCAGGCUGCAACCCGCCUGCAUGAAGUCGGAAUCGCUAGUAAUCGCGAGUCAGCAUAUCGCGGUGAAUACGUUCCCGGGUCUUGUACACACCGCCCGUCACACCAUGGGAGUUGGCAACACCCGAAGUCGAUGAGCUAACCGUAAGGAGGCAGUCGCCUAAGGUGGGGUUGAUAACUGGGGUGAAGUCGUAACAAGGUAUC